rnacentral:rRNA from 1 species
AUUGAACGCUGGCGGCAUGCUUUACACAUGCAAGUCGAACGGUAACAGGCCUUCGGGUGCUGACGAGUGGCGAACGGGUGAGUAAUGCAUCGGAACGUACCCAGAGGUGGGGGAUAACGCAGCGAAAGCUGUGCUAAUACCGCAUGUGAUCUGAGGAUGAAAGCGGGGGACCGCGCAGCAAUGUUUGGCCUCGCGCCUUUGGAGCGGCCGAUGUCGGAUUAGCUAGUUGGUGGGGUAAAGGCCUACCAAGGCGACGAUCCGUAGCUGGUCUGAGAGGACGACCAGCCACACUGGGACUGAGACACGGCCCAGACUCCUACGGGAGGCAGCAGUGGGGAAUUUUGGACAAUGGGCGCAAGCCUGAUCCAGCAAUGCCGCGUGCGGGAAGAAGGCCUUCGGGUUGUAAACCGCUUUUGGCAGGAACGAAACGGUGUCCGCUAAUACCGGGCGCUAAUGACGGUACCCGCAGAAUAAGCACCGGCUAACUACGUG